GCAAGUCGAACGCACCUUCGGGUGAGUGGCAGACGGGUGAGUAACACGUGGGAACCUUCCCUUUGGUACGGAAUAGCUCCGGGAAACUGGAAUUAAUACCGUAUACGCCCUUUUGGGGAAAGAUUUAUCGCCGAAGGAUGGGCCCGCGUCGGAUUAGCUAGUUGGUAGGGUAAUGGCCUACCAAGGCAACGAUCCGUAGCUGGUCUUAGAGGAUGAUC
rnacentral:rRNA from 1 species